CUAAUACAAGAGUGUAGACAGCUACCAACUUGCCCAUCCUUUUGUGUUGUUGUGCAGGUCCAUCACCAAAACAGUGGUGCAGCCUCACCUGGAGUCCUGUGUGCAGUUUUGGGCACUAUAAAAGAGACAUUUAGAGACUGUGCAAAGGAGGGCCAUGAGGAUGGUGAAGGACUUUGAGGAGAAACUGUGCGAGGGGCAGCUGAGGUCACUUGGUCUGUUUGCUUGGAGAAGAGGAGACUGAGGGGAGAGCUCAUUGUGGUCUACAACUUCCUCAAGAGGGGAAGAGGAGGGGAAGGCACUGAUCUCUGUGCUGACCAGUGACAGGUUCCAAAGGAAUGGCCUGGAGUUUUAUCAGGGGAGAUUUGGGUUCAAUAUUAGAAGAAGGUUCAUCACCCAGAGGGUGGCUGAGCACUGGAACAGGCUCCCCAGGGCAGUGGUCACAGCACCAGGCCUGACAGAGUUCAAGAAGUGUUUGGACAACGCUCUCAAGCACAGGGUAUGAUUCUUGGGAUGUCCUGUGCAGGGCCAGGAGUUGCGCUUGAUGAUCCUUGAUGAUCCUCAUGGGUCCCUUCCAAAUCAGUAUAUUCUGUGAUUCUGUAAUUCUAGGAGAAUAUGUCAGCUUUUGCUGGAGCAAACACCCUGAAAUGAAUAGCAGACUGGUCAGACCUUUAUCCUGAUGGAAACAAAGUUAUUGAGACUGUGAUUUAGUGAGUGACCAUGACCUGCUGUAACACAUGUACUCAGACAAGCCAGAUGUCAGGUGAAAAGGACUUAUCUCUACAGACAAUGUGUUUUUUUUCAAGCUUUCCUGAGGUACUCAAUUAACAGAUCUAGAGAUUAUAAUAUGUAAGCACAGUCCAUGCUGUGUCAGGCUUUCUACCACUAAUAUUCCAUCUCAAACUGUGAGGGUGAAGGGAUUAUGUUAACAACAGUACAAUCAUGCAGUUACACUGCCUCAAGUUGUCUUCCUGCUUCCAGAACAAAUUGUAGCCCAGGAAUUUCUUGAG